rnacentral:rRNA from 1 species
AACAGGAUUAGAUACCCUGGUAGUCCACGCCCUAAACGAUGUCUACUAGUUGUCGGGUUUUAAUUAACUUGGUAACGCAGCUAACGCGUGAAGUAGACCGCCUGGGGAGUACGGUCGCAAGAUUAAAACUCAAAGGAAUUGACGGGGACCCGCACAAGCGGUGGAUGAUGUGGAUUAAUUCGAUGCAACGCGAAAAACCUUACCUACCCUUGACAUGUACGGAAUCCCGAAGAGAUUUGGGAGUGCUCGAAAGAGAGCCGUAACACAGGUGCUGCAUGGCUGUCGUCAGCUCGUGUCGUGAGAUGUUGGGUUAAGUCCCGCAACGAGCGCAACCCUUGUCAUUAGUUGCUACGAAAGAGCACUCUAAUGAGACUGCCGGUGACAAACCGGAGGAAGGUGGGGAUGACGUCAAGUCCUCAUGGCCCUUAUGGGUAGGGCUUCACACGUCAUACAAUGGUACAUACAGAGGGCCGCCAACCCGCGAGGGGGAGCUAAUCCCAGAAAGUGUAUCGUAGUCCGGAUUGUAGUCUGCAACUCGACUACAUGAAGUUGGAAUCGCUAGUAAUCGCGGAUCAGCAUGUCGCGGUGAAUACGUUCCCGGGUCUUGUACACACCGCCCGUCACACCAUGGGAGCGGGUUUUACCAGAAGUAGGUAGCUUAACCGUAAGGAGGGCGCUUACCACGGUAGGAUUCGUGACUGGGGUGAAGUCGUAACAAGGUAACC